rnacentral:lncRNA from 1 species
GGGGAUCCAGGAAUUCCCGGAGGGAGGGGCGUUCAAGGGGAGAGGGGUCGCGUGGGAGAUCCCGGCCCUGUCGGCCCGAUGGGAACAGACGGGCGAAAGGGCGAACCCGGUUCUCCGGGACAACUGGAGGAUGCCAGUUUGUUGGAUGAUCCCGGCUUCAUGGCGGAACUCAGAAUAUUUAUCAGGAAGGAAGUUUUGAAAAUCUUUGAAGAAAGAAUAUCGAGCUCUAUUACGCUUCAAAAGACACCCGCAGGCAUCUUAGCAUCUAAUGGACACGGGCCUCCAGGACCUCCUGGCAAGGAGGGCUUACCAGGCCCACCAGGAUUCCCUGGGUCUCCUGGUCCACAAGGUAUGGGCACAGGCAUUCCAGAACUUUGA